rnacentral:sRNA from 1 species
GAAUCUGUCUUAACUGUGCUUUUAUCCCAGACUGGUUCAUCAUUACAUUAGGGACAAAAAGGUUUAUGUAUGGAUCUAUGACCCAGUUCACUUUAAAACAUUUGUCAUGGGAUUAAUUCUUGUGAUUGCAGUAAUAGCGGCCACCCUCUUCCCCCUUUGGCCAGCAGAAAUGAGAGUAGGUGUUUAUUACCUCAGUGUGGGUGCAGGCUGUUUUGUAGCCAGUAUUCUUCUCCUUGCUGUUGCUCGAUGCAUUCUAUUUCUCAUCAUUUGGCUCAUAACUGGAGGAAGGCACCACUUUUGGUUCUUGCCAAAUCUGACUGCUGAUGUGGGCUUCAUUGACUCCUUCAGGCCUCUGUACACACAUGAAUAC